CCAGCGUGAAAUUGUGUGCCUUCCCUCACUGGAUCUCGUCCUUCCUCUUCUCUCCUCCCGUCGACGACGAGACCGAAACGAAGAAGCAGAGAGCGCGCGAAGUUAGAUUCAACGUUCAGGUUCAGCCAUGGAUUUUUGGAACAAAGCUCGGAAUUUCGCCGAGGAAGCAGCGAAGCGCUCUCAGGAGCUGACUCUGGAAGCUGCAAGGCGUUCCCAAGAGCUCACGAUUGGAUCCUCUAGUUUGUCCGAUAUCGUUUCCGUGACUGCUAAACGCUCCAAGGAAUUCGCUACUGAAGCCUCGAAGCGAGCUGAUCAAAUUAAAGCAGAAGCUGCUAAGCGAGCCGAUCUAAUCAAGCACUUGGUCGGGGGGACUCCGUCGUCUGGCGCUCUUGAGAAGAACGCUUCCGAAGUAGAGAUGCAGGAGGAGGAUUUGCAGAAGUUUGGAAUAAACGAAGAGCUGAGGGACUUUGUCAAAGGCAUCACCAUGAGUACAUUUCGGGAUUUCCCACUCGAAGAUGAUUCACAAGUGUCCAAUAUCCCCACAGUCUCAAACAUUAGUCAGGAUCUAACUGUGUGGCAGACGAAGCAUGCAAGCCUUGUUCUUUCAACUGUCAAGGAAAUUUCUACGUUACGUUAUGAAUUGUGUCCACGCAUUAUGAAAGAGAGAAAAUUCUGGAGGAUUUACUUUUUGCUGGUUAAUAGACACAUUGCACCCUAUGAGAAAAAGUACAUGGAGGAUGUCAUGCUGAAAUCAGCUACACAGGUUGUAGAUGGAAAGAAGGAACCUGAUAAAACUGAAAUAACAUCUAAUUCUCAUGAGAAGAAAAAUGCUCCAACCUUUUCAUCAAGUGAUCAGGAGAAGAAAAAUGCUCCAACCUCCUCAUCAACUGACCAAGACUUGGACCUAUUUCUUCUUGGGGAUCUUGGAGACAGCGAUGAAGGUCCAGGUACAGUGCCACAAUUUAUUGAUGUCUGCUCUGUACUAAAGAUUUCAGACAAAGAAAUCAUGCCUCUACGUAAUCUUUAAAGUUCAAACAAAGAUCUGUUCCUUUGACGUUAUUGAUUUUGUCUAUUCAAGCUUGUUAAUUUUAACAGUAUGACAAAUUGUUGUUGUCAAGAGGUUGUAUUAGCAAUUGGCAUAUAUCCUUUUUAGUCCCUACUGACGUUUUUUCUGAGGCAGAAAAAAAUCUGCUCACUUCUUUAUCUGAAAGGAAGAGACUAGAGAAAUGUGGUUCUUGGAUUGAAAACAAGUGAUUUGAGGGAGUGGCUGCCAUUGGUCAUUUCCAUGGCUUCAAACAUUAUUUGGUGCAAUUAUUAGCAAUGGGCAUAGCAUAUGCACAGUACAGUUAUAUAGUUGCUUGUUCAUUUAUACUGUUGAUGUCAUUUUGUCAUUUGAGGUUGCUUGCACUGAUAUUCUUCCUGAUUUUUCAGAUGAUGGAGAUGAGGGCUUUGAUGAUGAUUUUGACAAAAUGGUUGACAGUUCGGAUGACGAGAAAGACAAAUUGUAGGAGACAACAGCAGGAGUGUUUUCACAUCAAAUCAUUGCUACUCAUCCAUUUGAAGUCGUCUUUUCCGUUCUUGGUGGCAGAGUUCAGUGGGCUAAAUGAUGAUCCAAUAAAAAACCCAUUUGAAGUCCUCUUCUAUCACUCCACUGAGCAGCGUGUGCACCUGAACCUGUGCAGGAGAAACCGAAGCUUAUAUGUUCAUUAUUUUUUUUUUCCCUUCUCACACUUGCCACUGAGGGAGGUUCCCAUGUACACAAAUCCUGUAUUAUACUUGGACCUUUGGUUGAUUUUGUACAGCACUCAGCACCUUAGCUUGGCCCUUCUUGGUGUAGGAUUAAUAUUUGUUUAAAUUAUAGGUUUAGUUCUUAAACGUUCUUAAACUUUUAAGUUUGUGUCUAUUUGGUCUCCAAAGUUGAUACAUCUAUAAACUUUCAUUUUUAUA